rnacentral:rRNA from 1 species
ACUUAAUAAUUUAAUUGGGUUUUUAGUUAGUUAGUUUUAAUUGAAAUAUCAUGGGUUUAAUUAUUGUGAAAGAACCAAUCAGUUUUAUUUAUAGUUGAAAGUAUAGUGAUAGAACAUUUAAAAGUUUAAAUAAGAAGGAUUAGUUUUCUGUACCUUGGGUGUCAGGGUUUACUAAAAAAAGUUAUCUAUAUAAGUUUCUCGAAUUAUAAAGAGUUAUUUGGAUAUUAGAGUUAUUGUAGCAUAACUAUCAUUAAUAUACAAAUUGAAGCGAAACGUUAUUCGUUUUAUAAUAUAUCUAGUUGCCUAAGAAAUAAAUUUAAUUUGCUAUUUUUAACCAUUUGGAUUAGUUUAUAUUUAAAUGGUAAAAGGUAGGAAUAACCUAAGGGACGAGCUUUAGGUUAAAAUUUUAUAAUGAUAGGAAGUUUAAAUAGAAAAUAGGAUUAGAAUUUUUCAUUUUUAAUUAAUAUGUUGUAAUUAUCUGUUUUAGAUUAAUUAUUUAUAUUUCAUUUAAAUGUUUUAUUAGGCAAGGUUCUUUAAUUUUUAAGGAUUGGGUAUAAUGUUAAAAUUAGUAAAUUAUAAUGUAUAGGAAAUGUAGUAUAAAAGGUUAGAGUAAGGAACUCGGCAAAUUGACUUUUCACCUGUUUAAUAAAAACAUGUCUUUUUGUUAAUAAUUUAAGGUUUAGCCUGCUCCAUGAUUAAUUUAAAUAGCCGCAGUAUUUUGACUGUGCAAAGGUAGCAUAAUCAUUAGUUUUUUAAUUGGAAGCUGGAAUGAAGGGCUGGAUGAGGAAGAAGCUGUCUCACUUUGAUUUUCAUUGAAUUUUAUUUUUAAGUCAAAAAGCUUAAAUUUGAUAAAAAGACGAGAAGACCCUAUAGAGUUUAAUAAAUGCAGGUUUUAGUUGUUUAAGGUUUUAAUUGUGAUUAAUACUUGAUUUAUUUGGUUGGGGUGACAUAAGAAUUUGUUAAACUUCUUUAUAUUAAUACAUUGAUUUAUGAAUAAUUGAUCCUGACGUUUGGAUUAUAAGAACAAAUUACCUUAGGGAUAACAGCGUAAUCUUUUUGUAGAGCCCAAAUCAAUAAAAGGGAUUGCGACCUCGAUGUUGGAUUAAAGUUAAAUUCUGGUGCAGAAGCUUGAAUUUUGAGUCUGUUCGACUCUUAAAACUUUACAUGAUCUGAGUUUAAACCGGCGUGAGCCAGGUUGGUUUCUAUCUUUUAUAGUUAAAAUAUUUUAGUACGAAAGGACCAGGUAUUUGAAUGAUAAUUUUUAUGUUUGAAUAGAAUU